GGGCUCAGAGGCUGAACCCGGGGCUUCUCUGCCAUGGCCUGGACCCCUCUGCUGCUCCCCCUGCUCAUUCUCUGCACAGGCUCUGUGGCCUCCUAUGAGCUGACCCAGUCGGGCCAUUUGUCAGUGGCCCCGGGAGAGACGGCCAGCAUGACCUGCACUGGAGAUUUACUGGAUGAAAAAUAUACUGACUGGUACCAGCAGAAGCCCGGCCAGGCCCCUGUGCUGGUUAUUUACAAUGAUAGCGAGCGGCCCUCGGGGAUCCCGGACCGGUUCUCGGGCUCCAGCUCUGGGAAGACAAACACCCUGACCAUCAGCGGGGUCCUGGCUGAGGAUGAGGCUGACUAUUACUGUUUGUCUAGUACCAGUGAUGGCACUUCUCACAGUGACACAGCAGAUGGGGAAUGUCUCCCCAGGUCUCCCAGCCAAUCUGAGCUCAUGAAGCACCAGGACCUUGGCAGCCUCGGUUCUUGUGGGAAGCUGAUAUAG